rnacentral:rRNA from 1 species
GACGAACGCUGGCGGCGUGCUUAACACAUGCAAGUCGAACGAAGAGCGAUGGAAGCUUGCUUCUAUCAAUCUUAGUGGCGAACGGGUGAGUAACGCGUAAUCAACCUGCCCUUCAGAGGGGGACAACAGUUGGUAACGACUGCUAAUACCGCAUACGAUCUAAUCUCGGCAUCGAGGAUAGAUGAAAGGUGGCCUCUACAUGUAAGCUAUCACUGAAGGAGGGGAUUGGGUCUGAUUAGCUAGUUGGAGGGGUAACGGCCCACCAAGGCGAUGAUCAGUAGCCGGUCUGAGAGGAUGAACGGCCACAUUGGGACUGAGACACGGCCCAGACUCCUACGGGAGGCAGCAGUGGGGAAUCUUCCGCAAUGGACGAAAGUCUGACGGAGCAACGCCGCGUGAGCGAUGACGGCCUUCGGGUUGUAAAGCUCUGUUAAUCGGGACGAAAGGCCUUCUUGCGAAUAGUGAGAAGGAUUGACGGUACCGGAAGAGAAAGCCACGGCUAACUACGUG